rnacentral:sRNA from 1 species
AAAACUUAGUGUGAAGACAACUUAAAUAAGAUACAGAAUUCAAAACUUUCUCAGUUGAAAAUUACUGUACAGUCAGAGAAACUUUAUGUGAAAAAAUGUUCAGAGAGGGAUAUAGCACAAGCUGCAUUUAAAGAAACAAGUAUGAACCAAGUGUCACUACCAAAAGACAUUGAGAAGGCCAAGAGUAGAUUUUCUAGAGCAACAGAGGAUGCUGAAAAAGCAGAUACCCAAUAUAAGAGUGCAGUAAUGGUCUUGGAAGAAUGCCGAAUACUUUGGGAAAAUGAAAUGAUCACUGCUUGCCAUUCGAUUCAAGUUAUGGAUGAGGAAAGGAUAAAAUUUAUGCGACACGAAAUUUGAGAUACCGCUAACAUAGACUCAC